rnacentral:rRNA from 1 species
UACGUAGGUGGCAAGCGUUGUCCGGAUUUAUUGGGUUUAAAGGGUGCGUAGGCGGUCUAUUAAGUCAGUUGUGAAAUACGGCAGCUCAACUGUCGAGGUGCAAUUGAUACUGAUGGACUUGAGUACUGAUGAGGUAUGCGGAAUGGACGGUGUAGCGGUGAAAUGCUUAGAUAUCGUCCAGAACACCGAUAGCGAAGGCAGCAUACUAAGGAGUAACUGACGCUGAGGCACGAAAGUGUGGGGAUCAAACAGG